GGGCCUGUAGCUUAAUGGUUAAAGUGUCCUGUCGCUCGUGAUCCUGACCCAGUUAGGGGAUGACCGAGUGACGCCGAUCUCAGUUCGAGUCUGGGCGGGUCCU